UACCUGGUUGAUCCUUCCAGUAGUCAUAUGCUUGUCUCAAAGAAUAGGCCAUGCCUGAGUAAGUAUGAAUAAAUUUAGACUGUGAAACUCCGAAUGGCUCAUUAUAGAGCUAAUACAUGCAACAAAACCUGACUUUUAGAAGGGAUGUAUUUAUUAGUUAAAUGGUUGAUGCGGGCUUUGCUUGUUACUGCAGUAAUUUAUGAUAACUCGAUGGAUCGCACGACCAUCAUACCGAUGAUGUAUCAUUCAAAUUUCUGUCCUAUCAACUUUCGAUAAUAGGAUACUGGCCUAUCAUGUUGGUAAUGCGUGAUGGAGAGUUAAGGUUCAAUUCUAGAGAUAGAGCCAGAGAAACAGCUACCACAUCCAAGGAAGGCAGCAGGCGCACAAAUUACCUAAUCCUGACACAGGGAGGUAGUGACAACAAAAUAACAAUGCCGGGCUCAAUAAGUUUGGUAAUUAGAAUGAGUACAAUCUAAAUCCCCUAACGAGGAUACAUUGGAGGACAAGUCUGGUGCCAGUAGCUGUGGUAAUUCAACAUGCAAUAGCAUUUAUUUAAGUUGUUGAAAUUAAAAAGCUUAUAGUUGUAAUUUUGAUGGGCCGAAAGGUCCACCUAUGGUUUGUACCAAUCAUCUCGUCCCUUCUGUCGGCGAUAUGCACCUGGACCUAACUCUACGGGUCAUGCCUCUGGCUCUUUUAUUUGAAGAAAUUAGAGUUCUCAAAGCAAGCGUACACUCUGUAUGCAUUAGCAUGGAUAAUAUUAUAGGAUUUUUGUCCUAUUAUAUUGGCUUUCGAGAUCGAAGUCAUGAUUAAUAGGGACAAUUGAGGGCAUUCAUAUUUCAUAGUCAAAGGUGAAAUUCUUGGAUUUAUGAACGAUGAAGAACUGCGAAAGCAUUUGCCAAGGAUAUUUUCAUUAAUCCGUAAUGAAAGUUUGGGGCUGAAAGACGAUCAGAUACCACCCUAGUCUCCACCAUAAAUGUUGUCGACCAAGGAUCGAUGGAAGUUUCUUUUAGGACUCUACCGACACCUUAUGAGCAAUCAAAUUUUUUGGGUUUUGGGGAGAAUAUGGUCGUAAGGGUGAAACUUUAAGGAAUUGAUGGAAGGGUACCACCAGGAGUGAAGCCUGCCGCUUAAUUUGACUCAACAAGGGGAAACUUACUAGGUCCAGAACUAGUAUAGAUUGACAAUAUGAGAGCUCUUUCUUGAUUCUAUGGGUGGUGGUGAAUGGCCAUUCUUAGUUGGUGGAGCAAUUUGUCAGGUGAUUUCUAUUAACGAAUAUGACCUCAGACUGCUAACUAGAUAUGUGGAGGUAUCCCCUCGUGGCCAGCUUCUUAGAGGGACUAUGACCUCUUAUGUCAUAGAUGUUUGAGUCAAUAAUAGGUAUUUGAUGCCCUUAUAUAUUAUGGGCAACACACGUUGUACAAUAAUGUAUUCAAUGAGUUUAUAGACUUAGCCGAGAGGCUCGGGUAAACUAUGAAAUUUCAUCAUGAUGUGGAUAGAUUAUUGUAAUUAUUGGUCAUUAACUGGCCGAGUUGUGCCUCUGAUGCUAUUAUUGGCCUUAUAUGACCGGGUUGUGCCUUCUUUUAGAUCGUUUUGACUAUCUUUCCACCCUUUGUACACAUCGCCCAUCACUCCUACCAAUUGAAUGAUCAAGUAAAAUGUCUAGAUCACGGCAAGGAGGGCAGUUCGCUGCUCGCGACAUUGGUAUGAGUCCAUUGUAGCUUAUCAUUUAGACGAAUGAUAAGUCGUAAAAAGGAUACCAUAGGUGAACCUGUGGAAGGCUCAUUG
rfam:Capsicum annuum cultivar Zunla-1 chromosome 6, whole genome shotgun sequence